UGCAGCUAAAAUGAUUAAUUUCUAUCAAUAAUUAUAAAUGGACGUCUCUCUCCAAUGACUAGCAAAAGGCAAACUAAUAGAAAACUGAGAAUUAACUUUUUAAACAAACGUGUAAAGACACUGCUGAAGGAAGUUGAUCUGGCAAAGCUUGAGUCAAAGACAAAGAGAAGAGUACAACCAGGAGGAGGAG